rnacentral:rRNA from 1 species
GUGAGGAAUAUUGGACAAUGGGCGCAAGCCUGAUCCAGCCAUGCCGCGUGCAGGAAGACGCAUCUAUGGUGUGUAAACUGCUUUUGUACGGGAAGAAACACUCCCUCGUGAGGGAGCUUGACGGUACCGUAAGAAUAAGGAUCGGCUAACUCCGUGCCAGCAGCCGCGGUAAUACGGAGGAUCCAAGCGUUAUCCGGAAUCAUUGGGUUUAAAGGGUCCGUAGGCGGUUUAAUAAGUCAGUGGUGAAAGCCCAUCGCUCAACGAUGGAACGGCCAUUGAUACUGUUAGACUUGAAUUACAAGUAAGUAACUAGAAUAUGUAGUGUAGCGGUGAAAUGCUUAGAUAUUACAUGGAAUACCAAUUGCGAAGGCAGGUUACUACUUGUGGAUUGACGCUGAUGGACGAAAGCGUGGGGAGCGAACAGGAUUAGAAACCCGGGUAGUCC